rnacentral:pre_miRNA from 11 species
UCGCACAGGUGUAAUCUAGCCUCUCCUAGGCUUUGUCUGUUACCUUCCUUGGGAAUUCCACUAGCCAGACAUAGCCUGACAGAGGUUAGGUGAAAUCUGAAAAG